rnacentral:lncRNA from 1 species
CAUAGGGCAACCGGCGAUUGCCACCAACCUUGAGGACUUGGGUUCGAUUCCCUGGGAACCACGUGGUAGGAGAGAACUGACCUCCAUGCUUAAGUUUGUCCACACAAAAUAAAUUUUAAGAUGUAACGACAACAACCAAAUGGCUUUAUUUGAGAAGAUGAACAAGAGGGUGUGUGUGGGGGGGGUUAGGUUUAAUUUAGUUUUUCUUCUUUGUAGGAGCUGGGAGUGCGGACAUACAUGUCAAGUGAGUGUUCCACUACCCAGCAAAAUCUCCAGCCCCCGGUAAUGUAUUUCUUGUUGUUGUUGGGUUGUUUUUUUUUUCCUUUUUUAUUUUCAUUUUUUCCUUUGAUAAAUUUCUUGGGUUUCAGCUACCUGGAAAUUAUCAAUGACUGCACGUGCCCAGCUCUUCUGGACCCUCUGAUGUUCUGUCACAUGGGAGCAAAUGGAGAGCUGGGACAUCCUUUGACCUCAGCCCUCAAAGGAUAAUUAACUUCUUGCUCAAUCCCUCAGCAUUUGACCAAAAUACCAAGAUAAAAAUGUAGGCCCGUGUUAGUACAAAAGGUCCUGCAUUCAACUGUCCUCCUUAUAUUGCCCAAGAAGUCUUGUGGAAUUCCAAGAAGAAUUCAAGGGGCCAGACCUGGAAUAUGCAUCAAUGAGAAUAAGACACUGACGAAGCUAACGACACUAACGGGGAAUGAGGAUAAUCGACUCCUGUCCUUUGUUUUACUCUUUAACCUAGUAAUAAAUCCCUUUAAAGGCC